rnacentral:rRNA from 1 species
CAAAAACAUCUUUUCUUGUUAGUUUUUGAAGUAUGGCCUGCCCGCUGAUUUUAGGUUGAAGGGCCGCGGUAUUUUGACCGUGCAAAGGUAGCAUAAUCAUUAGUUCUUUAAUUGUGAUCUGGUAUGAAUGGCUUGACGAGGCAUGGGCUGUCUUGGAUUGGAAUUGUUUAUUGAAUUUGGUUUUUGAGUUAGAAUUCUUAAAUGUUUUUAUGGGACGAGAAGACCCUAUAGAGUUUAACAUUUAUUUAUAUAGCUUGUUUAUAGGUUUGUUUUGUAGUUGCUUUGUGUUAAUGUGUUUUGUUGGGGUGAUGGGAAGAAUUUUCUUAACUCUUCUUUAUUUUGGUAUAUUGAUUUAUAUUGGUUUUGAUCCAUUUAUUUUGAUUAUAAGAUUAAAUUACCUUAGGGAUAACAGCGUUAUCCUCCUUGAGAGUUCUUAUUGGCGGGAGGGUUUGCGACCUCGAUGUUGGAUUAAGGUUGAUUUUUGGUGUAGGAGCUGAAUUGAUUAGGUCUGUUCGACCUUUAAAAUCUUACGUGAUCUGA